rnacentral:rRNA from 1 species
GGUGACAGCCCCGUACACAAAAGCGCAUGUGCUGUGAGCUCGAUGAGUAGGGCGGGACACGUGAUAUCCUGUCUGAAUAUGGGGGGACCAUCCUCCAAGGCUAAAUACUCCUGACUGACCGAUAGUGAACCAGUACCGUGAGGGAAAGGCGAAAAGAACCCCGGCGAGGGGAGUGAAAAAGAACCUGAAACCGUGUACGUACAAGCAGUGGGAGCACCCUUCGGGGUGUGACUGCGUACCUUUUGUAUAAUGGGUCAGCGACUUAUAUUCUGUAGCAAGGUUAACCGAAUAGGGGAGCCGGAGGGAAACCGAGUCUUAACCGGGCGUUAAGUUGCAGGGUAUAGACCCGAAACCCGGUGAUCUAGCCAUGGGCAGGUUGAAGGUUGGGUAACACUAACUGGAGGACCGAACCGACUAAUGUUGAAAAAUUAGCGGAUGACCUGUGGCUGGGGGUGAAAGGCCAAUCAAACCGGGAGAUAGCUGGUUCUCCCCGAAAGCUAUUUAGGUAGCGCCUCGUGAAUUCAUCUCCGGGGGUAGAGCACUGUUUCGGCUAGGGGGCCAUCCCGGCUUACCAACCCGAUGCAAACUGCGAAUACCGGAGAAUGUUAUCACGGGAGACACACGGCGGGUGCUAACGUCCGUCGUGAAGAGGGAAACAACCCAGACCGCCAGCUAAGGUCCCAAAGUCAUGGUUAAGUGGGAAACGAUGUGGGAAGGCCCAGACAGCCAGGAUGUUGGCUUAGAAGCAGCCAUCAUUUAAAGAAAGCGUAAUAGCUCACUGGUCGAGUCGGCCUGCGCGGAAGAUGUAACGGGGCUAAACCAUGCACCGAAGCUGCGGCAGCGAACGUAUCACUUAAAGCGAUUCAGCGGGUUACGAUUGACGGAGCGAAGCGACGUCAAAGCGUAUACAAAGUCGAGUCGGUUUAAGGAUACGUUCGUUGGGUAGGGGAGCGUUCUGUAAGCCUGUGAAGGUGUGUCGUGAGGCAUGCUGGAGGUAUCAGAAGUGCGAAUGCUGACAUAAGUAACGAUAAAGCGGGUGAAAAGCCCGCUCGCCGGAAGACCAAGGGUUCCUGUCCAACGUUAAUCGGGGCAGGGUGAGUCGACCCCUAAGGCGAGGCCGAAAGGCGUAGUCGAUGGGAAACGGGUUAAUAUUCCCGUACUUGGUGUUACUGCGAAGGGGGGACGGAGAAGGCUAUGUUGGCCGGGCGACGGUUGUCCCGGUUUAAGCGUGUAGGUGUGUGUUCCAGGUAAAUCCGGUUCACUUUAACACUGAGGCGUGACGACGAGGCACUACGGUGCUGAAGCAACAAAUGCCCUGCUUCCAGGAAAAGCCUCUAAGCAUCAGGUAACAUCAAAUCGUACCCCAAACCGACACAGGUGGUCAGGUAGAGAAUACCAAGGCGCUUGAGAGAACUCGGGUGAAGGAACUAGGCAAAAUGGUGCCGUAACUUCGGGAGAAGGCACGCUGACACGUAGGUGAAGUGAUUUACUCAUGGAGCUGAAGUCAGUCGAAGAUACCAGCUGGCUGCAACUGUUUAUUAAAAACACAGCACUGUGCAAACACGAAAGUGGACGUAUACGGUGUGACGCCUGCCCGGUGCCGGAAGGUUAAUUGAUGGGGUCAGCGCAAGCGAAGCUCCUGAUCGAAGCCCCGGUAAACGGCGGCCGUAACUAUAACGGUCCUAAGGUAGCGAAAUUCCUUGUCGGGUAAGUUCCGACCUGCACGAAUGGCGUAAUGAUGGCCAGGCUGUCUCCACCCGAGACUCAGUGAAAUUGAACUCGCUGUGAAGAUGCAGUGUACCCGCGGCAAGACGGAAAGACCCCGUGAACCUUUACUAUAGCUUGACACUGAACAUUGAGCCUUGAUGUGUAGGAUAGGUGGGAGGCUUUGAAGCGUGGACGCCAGUCUGCGUGGAGCCGACCUUGAAAUACCACCCUUUAAUGUUUGAUGUUCUAACGUGGACCCGUGAUCCGGGUUGCGGACAGUGUCUGGUGGGUAGUUUGACUGGGGCGGUCUCCUCCUAAAGAGUAACGGAGGAGCACGAAGGUUGGCUAAUCCUGGUCGGACAUCAGGAGGUUAGUGCAAUGGCAUAAGCCAGCUUGACUGCGAGCGUGACGGCGCGAGCAGGUGCGAAAGCAGGUCAUAGUGAUCCGGUGGUUCUGAAUGGAAGGGCCAUCGCUCAACGGAUAAAAGGUACUCCGGGGAUAACAGGCUGAUACCGCCCAAGAGUUCAUAUCGACGGCGGUGUUUGGCACCUCGAUGUCGGCUCAUCACAUCCUGGGGCUGAAGUAGGUCCCAAGGGUAUGGCUGUUCGCCAUUUAAAGUGGUACGCGAGCUGGGUUUAGAACGUCGUGAGACAGUUCGGUCCCUAUCUGCCGUGGGCGCUGGAGAACUGAGGGGGGCUGCUCCUAGUACGAGAGGACCGGAGUGGACGCAUCACUGGUGUUCGGGUUGUCAUGCCAAUGGCACUGCCCGGUAGCUAAAUGCGGAAGAGAUAAGUGCUGAAAGCAUCUAAGCACGAAACUUGCCCCGAGAUGAGUUCUCCCUGAGACUUAGAGUCUCCUGAAGGAACGUUGAAGACGACG